CCCCUCGCCGCGUCGGGGUCAUGACGCGGCAUCCUCCCUGUUGGACUAGGCCGGGCAAUGCCCGGCCUUUUUU
rnacentral:ncRNA from 1 species